UGACCCCUGCUAGUCGGACGUUCUAGAUGACUGAAUGGAGUUUUGAGUUGGACUCUGGUGUCCCCUACGGAGUCGGGCCUGAUCCCGGAGCGCUGGGGGUGGGGUGGAGGUGUUACUGUAAAAUGCAAGUUGGAUAAAAGGAGGACCUCUCGCCAAGGGCCCCAAUGAGUGGCACACAGUCUACUAUCACCGACAGGUUUCCCCUCAAAAAACCUAUAAGGCAUGGAAGUAUUUUGAACCGUGAGUCACCAACAGAUAAGAAGCAGAAAGUUGAGCGCAGUACAUCACAUGAUUUUGACCCCACAGAUAGCUCCUCCAAGAAGACAAAGUCUAGUUCAGAGGAGAGUAGAUCCGAAAUAUAUGGUCUUGUUCAGCGUUGUGUGAUCAUCCAGAAGGAUGACAAUGGAUUUGGGCUGACGGUCAGUGGAGACAAUCCAGUGUUCGUACAGUCUGUCAAAGAAGAUGGAGCAGCCAUGCGGGCUGGAGUACAGACAGGUGAUCGAAUCAUCAAGGUGAAUGGAACUCUGGUGACUCAUUCAAACCAUUUGGAAGUGGUGAAGCUAAUCAAAUCUGGUUCCUAUGUAGCUCUCACUGUUCAGGGACGCCCCCCUGGGUCGCCCCAGAUUCCACUUGCUGAUUCUGAAGUAGAGCCAUCGGUCACUGGACAUAUGUCUCCCAUCAUGACAUCCCCUCAUUCACCUGGUGCACCUGGGAAUAUGGAGAGAAUUACUAGUCCUGUGCUCAUGGGGGAAGAAAACAAUGUGGUUCAUAACCAGAAAGUAGAAAUUCUGAGAAAAAUGUUACAGAAAGAACAGGAACGGCUUCAGCUAUUGCAGGAAGACUACAACCGAACACCUGCUCAGAGAUUGCUAAAAGAGAUCCAAGAGGCCAAGAAACACAUUCCUCAGCUGCAAGAGCAGUUAUCCAAAGCCACAGGCUCUGCUCAGGAUGGAGCUGUAGUUACAUCCUCCAAGCCGUUAGCUGACGGGCUAGCAGUGGGUGAAGGAGAAGCAGAUCCUGGUGAUGGGCUAGGCAGGCUUGACUAUGGCAGCGGAGACGCUUCUCGGCCCGGUAGUGACAGUGCCGAUAGUCCCAAGAGUGGCUUGAAAGAGAGGAUUUAUCUAGAGGAAAACCCAGAAAAAAGUGAAGCAAUUCAGGACACUGACACUCAGUCGCUUGUUGGGAGUCCCUCUACCCGUGUGGCACCUCAUAUUAUUGGAGCAGAGGACGAUGACUUUGGUAGUGAACAUGAACAGAUCAAUGGGCAGUGCAGCUGUUUUCAGAGCAUUGAGCUGCUAAAAUCUCGCCCUGCUCACUUGGCUGUCUUCUUACACCAUGUAGUUUCCCAGUUUGACCCUGCAACAUUGCUCUGUUACCUCUAUUCAGACCUAUAUAAACAGACCAAUUCCAAGGAGACCCGUCGUGUCUUCCUUGAGUUCCAUCAGUUCUUCCUGGAUCGAUCUGCUCACCUGAAGGUUUCUGUUCCUGAUGAAAUAUCAGUAGAUCUAGAAAAAAGACGACCAGAGCUUAUUCCUGAGGAUCUACAUCGCCACUAUAUCCAAACUAUGCAAGAAAGAGUCCACCCAGAAGUUCAGAGGCACUUGGAAGAUUUUCGGCAGAAGCGCAGCAUGGGGCUGACCCUGGCUGAAAGUGAACUGACUAAACUUGAUGUAGAGCGAGACAAGGACCGGUUAACUUUGGAGAAGGAACGGGCAUGUGCAGAACAGAUUGUUGCCAAAAUUGAAGAAGUGUUGAUGACUGCUCAGGCUGUAGAAGAAGAAAAGAGUUCAACAAUGCAAUAUGUUAUUCUCAUGUACAUGAAACAUUUGGGAGUAAAAGUGAAAGAACCUCGAAAUUUGGAGCACAAGCGAGGUCGGAUUGGAUUCCUUCCAAAAAUCAAGCAAAGUAUGAAGAAAGAUAGAGAAGGCGAAGAAAAGGGGAAGCGAAGAGGGUUCACCAGCAUCUUGGGACCCCCUAGGAGACCAAGCCGCCACGACAAUAGCGCAAUUGGCAGAGCCAUGGAACUGCAGAAGCAGCGCCACCCUAAGCACUUGUCCACACCCUCGUCUGUGAGUCCUGAACCUCAGGAUUCUGCGAAGCUGCGCCAGAGUGGAUCAGCAAGUGAAGGAGCAGACAGUGGAUACCUGCCAGCCAAUUCCACGUCCUCCAUGGUUUCAGGGGCCACUCUUUCCCAGGAAGGAGGGAAAGAGAAUGAUAUGGGAUCAAAACAAGCUGGAGAAACGCCAGCAUCUGGAGACUCCUUGGAUGGCACUCCUCGUACUCCCAACACCAUCUUUGAUUUCCCACCUCCUCCAUUAGACCAGGUGCAGGAGGAGGAAUGGGAAGUAGAGAGAGUGACUGAGCAUGGGACACCAAAGCCCUUUCGAAAGUUUGACAGCAUAGCUUUUGGAGAAAGUCAGAGUGAGGAUGAACAGUUUGAAAAUGACUUAGAGACGGACCCACCCAACUGGCAACAGCUCGUCAGUCGAGAAGUGUUAUUGGGACUCAAGCCUUGUGAGAUCAAAAGACAGGAAGUAAUUAAUGAAUUGUUCUACACUGAAAGAGCUCAUGUUCGAACAUUGAAGGUUCUAGAUCAAGUGUUUUAUCAGCGAGUGUCCAGAGAAGGAAUUUUGUCACCUUCAGAGCUACGGAAAAUUUUUUCAAACUUAGAAGAUAUUCUUCAACUUCACAUUGGAUUGAAUGAGCAAAUGAAGGCUAUUCGGAAGAGGAAUGAGACCUCUGUUAUUGAUCAGAUUGGGGAAGAUUUGCUGAUCUGGUUCAGUGGACCCGGGGAGGAAAAGUUGAAACAUGCUGCUGCUACCUUUUGCAGUAACCAACCCUUUGCCCUGGAAAUGAUCAAGUCUCGCCAGAAAAAGGAUUCUCGAUUCCAGACUUUUGUGCAAGAUGCUGAGAGUAAUCCACUGUGUCGUCGUCUGCAGCUAAAGGAUAUCAUUCCCACUCAAAUGCAGAGGCUUACUAAGUACCCUCUUCUCUUGGACAAUAUUGCCAAAUACACAGAGUGGCCAACAGAAAGGGAGAAGGUGAAGAAAGCUGCAGAUCACUGUCGUCAGAUCUUAAAUUACGUGAACCAAGCUGUUAAGGAGGCAGAGAACAAACAGCGCUUGGAAGAUUAUCAGCGUCGCCUUGAUACCUCUAAUCUGAAGUUGUCAGAAUACCCAAAUGUUGAAGAGCUCAGGAAUUUGGAUUUAACAAAAAGGAAGAUGAUUCACGAAGGCCCAUUGGUUUGGAAGGUGAAUAGAGAUAAAACAAUUGAUCUGUAUACGUUGCUGCUGGAAGAUAUUCUUGUAUUAUUACAAAAGCAGGAUGAUAGACUGGUGUUAAGGUGUCACAGUAAGAUUCUGGCAUCUACAGCUGACAGCAAACACACAUUUAGCCCUGUCAUCAAGCUGAAUACGGUGUUGGUUCGACAAGUGGCAACAGAUAACAAAGCUUUAUUCGUCAUCUCCAUGUCUGAUAAUGGAGCCCAAAUUUAUGAACUGGUGGCACAGACAGUUUCUGAAAAGACUGUCUGGCAGGACCUAAUAUGUCGGAUGGCCGCGUCCGUGAAGGAGCAGUCCACAAAGCCGAUCCCACUGCCCCAGCCGCCACCGUGCGAAGGAGACAACGAUGAAGAAGAACCUCCAAAAUUAAAAGUGGAACAUCAUGACAUUUCAGUCACUGGUCUGCAGAGUCCAGACAGAGAUUUGGGAUUAGAGUCUCCUUUAAUGUCAUCAAAACCUCAGUCUCAUUCGCUGGGUACCUCUGGGAAGUCGGAAGUAGAUGACCUCUUUGUGGCUGAGAGACAGUUUGCAAAGGAGCAGCAUGCAGAUGGGACACUAAAGGAAGUUGGAGUGAAUUAUCAAAUCACAAUCCCAGAUCCACACUUGCCUGUCUCGGAAGAACGGUGGGCGCUGGAUGCACUAAGGAAUUUGGGUUUGUUGAAGCAGCUGCUGGUACACCAGCUGGGCUUGACUGAGAAGAGCGCUCAGGAAGACUGGCCACAUUUUCCAAGAUGCAGGACAGCCUCUCUGGGGGUGCAGGCAGACAGUGGAACCCAGAACCCUGAAAAUAUUAAGGCCUGUCAUCCUGUUGAAGCACAGAUGCCCUUUAGAACUGGAACUGGUGACAUUUCAACUUGUUACAGUCCACGGACUUCAACUGAAUCUUCUGCUCCACGGGAUUCAGUAGUACUGGCAUUCCAAGAGAGCCAGGCAAGUGACAUUUUAGUAAUGGACCACAUGAUUAUGACCCCAGAGAUGCCUCCCUCAGAGCCAGAAGGGGGUCUUGAUGAGAGUGGAGAGCACUUUUUUGAUGCCCGUGAAGCACAUAGUGAUGAUAAUCCAUCAGAAGGUGAUGGAGCAGUUAAAAAGGAAGAGAAGGAUGUUAAUUUGCGCAUCUCAGGAACCUAUCUGAUUCUUGAUGGCUAUGACCCGGUGCAGGAGAGCUCCACAGAUGACGAGGUUGCUUCCUCGUUCCCCCUUCAGCCCGGGGCAGGCAUCCCCUCUCUGGACUCUGGACACCAGCAGCAGCCUUCUCCCCAGAAUGCUCAUUCUGAUGGGGCUGUUUCACCGUUCAACCCAGAAUUACUGGUCCAGCAGCGCUGGGGAGCUAUGGAGGAUUCCUGUUUUGAGAUCCAGAGUCCCUCUGCUUGUGCUGAUUCACAAAGCCAGAUCAUGGAGUACAUUCGUAAAAUAGAGGCUGACCUUGAACACUUAAAGGAUUACAUAUAGGGAUGUCCUGUGGCUGGUAAGAUUCUAAGAGGCCUUCGAGGGCACAUUGGCUCUAACUUAGUUCAUGCCACAUAUGGGAUCGUUUUCAGGGUGACUCCAGGGCAGGAGGGAAUAAUCACCUCUAAUAGUUGCCCUCUCCUCUACUUUCUUCUGCAUGGGAACAUUUUAAGUUAUUCACUCAAGGGAGAAACAGAAGGUGGAGGAAAGUUACACCAUUCUUUGCCAAAGGCUGGCUGGAUCAGCCCUCACAGACAAGCACUCAGAUAAAAGUUAGAGCCAUGUGUCCUGGAGGUGACUGCAGGUUGUUGGAUUUGAGCACCAGCCUUGUCUCACCAUGUCCUGGCUCCAGUGUGGACGCUGAGAGAGAGUAUGACGUGUGACAGAGGAUCUGCCUGCAAACACCCUGGGGGAGCCACGCCCUCCGGGGCCCAGAGCAGGACUGGGUCUUCACAGCCUGGCAGCUGCACAAGUCUGUCCGCGAGGGGACAUCCGUCCUCUCGCCCUGCUCUUCUCACUCUUGGAAAUCCAUUUUGAUUCAGAACAAAAACCAAAUGUAUAGAGCUUUGGGUGUAGAAUAUGAAAUUUUACUUAGACUUAAGAGAAAGAGAAAAUCAGAUGUAUUUAUUUGACUUCAUUCCGUAUUUGAAAGCACAUUUUAAUUUUUAUUUUGCCAUGUUUUGUUUUAAUUGAGUAGUGAGAGUUUUAGCCCUUUGUAUUUAGUACACCCAAGGAUUGACUGCUCCUGAAGCAAAGAGUUCAGGAUGGGGUAUCAGGAGGUGGCUGGAGAGGUGAAGAGGGGGAGGGAGUGGGCAGAGGAGAGAGGAGCAUGAGGUCUCUACCGAAGGAUGUCCCGUGCCCUCUGCUGUCCCAUAGGCUGCUCGUCUGAGGGUCCCCUCAAAAGCGUACUCAAAAGUCCUCUGCCGCAACUCCUCCGAGCAGAGGACUUGAGCUUUGUGCUCCCAGGUGCGGGGCUUCCUCCCACCCGAGGCCAGCACCUCUUCUCUGUAGCUGGGAUCCGCUCCCGAUGAACAGGAAUCCUCAAUGUACUAAGUAGCAGGCACUUGAAAAUGGGUGUGUUUUCUUCUAUCGUCUCCUUUUCUGUUGAGGUUUGGGAUUUGGGAGGGAGAGGAAAGCAAAUUUUAUUUUCUUGACUAUAAAUUUGUUAUCCUUGGUAUUGUUUCAUUUUUAUAAUUAUACAUUAGACCUUGGCACUUGUGUAAAAUAAUCCCUGCCAGCUGAGCAGGAAGUGAAAACAAGCAGAGAUGCUUCAGGUGGAGGCAGGGGUGGGGGCUGCUGAGGAAGGGUGGGAUGGGAGCGGGUGAGAGUGUGGGAAGGUUAUGGAACUGAAUCACUACUGAGUUGAACAAUGGCUUUCAUGAGCCACGGGUACUGCUGAGUAUAAGGCCAGUAAAAUGUUAGUACCUGGAGGUUUGACUCUGAUUUUUGCACUGAUGGUGCCAAAGGGCUCUUAGAGUUUGAGAAGAGAGCCAAGGGUGGAGUGGAGGAGGAUGCGGUGGAGAAGGCAGAGCUGCUCCAGCCAGCUGCAGAAGCACAUCCUCGGACUUCACUGCUGGAGCUUUUUCCACACUGGUGCAUGACUGACCUUAAAAAUUGCAGACCAGAACAUACACUGGAUACUGCAGGCAAGGCGUUGGGAACUGCCUGCUCUAGAAUGAAUAGUAGCCCUGGCAGCACCCUCCAGAGGAUAAAUGUUUCAGAACUGUAACUUGAGAACUCCCUUCAGUUCUGUUGGCUUUCUGUGGUUUUCUUUGUGCAUCAGGUAUAUAUUAAUGUGUUUUGAAGUAUUUUUGCCAAUCAAAAACGAAAUCAUUUGUCAAAUAUUACAAUUCUGUUAAUACACAAGGAGUUGAUCCACUGCUCAUGUCUUUCAGUAGUACCCUCUGAACUCUGUGGGUAGUUAGGAUGUAAUUUUACUCUCCCCUGCCAUCCCCUCACCAUCUGCCCAAAAAUAUAUAUAUAUACAUAUAUAUAUAAUAUAUAUAUAAAAUUUCCCCCCAUCAUAAGUGGUAAGGAUUCCCAACUGCGUUUAUAAACACCACUACAACUUAGCAAAGCUCAUCUAUGUCCAGAUUCUUGUUUCUGUCUUUCCAAAAGUGAUCUGUGUUUUUAAAUAAACCAACUUGGAUCGUUGGACCUCAUCUAUAAAUUAGAAUUUUAUUUUGAUUUAUAGCCCAAGUAUAAAUUAAAAUGGGAUUAAAAAAUUUAGAAGCAGAAGCUAAUAUAUAAGUAAAGCUUGGGACUUGAACUUUCUGUGUCUCUUAAGAGAAACAAGUAGAAACCAAAUGGUUACAUUGUGCUGCUGGAAAUAAUGUAGUCACUCCCAACUAAAAGGGGUACCUGUAGUUACUUGACACUAAUACCAUCAGUGGGCAGUUAAUCAGAAGAAAGGUAAAUACAAAUAGAACUUUCAUCUUAACUUCAGAUAGUACAGGGUCAUUGAAUAAUUCCCUAGCACUCAGUUAUUUAAGAAGAUUUGUACGUUAGCAGAGUUUUAGUUUCUCUUCUGGUUCAGCCAACCCCUUGUCCUUAGCAACUAUUUGCUUUUCUUUUUCCUGAAGUUUAACCUCUCCUUGGAACAAAAACAGGGCUAACUGGAAAAAUAUUUUGACCGUUGCUCUUGUGCCUCCAAAUAAAUUCAUUUCUAGAUCUUCAAAUGAAGCCCCCAAAUGAAAUCUAAUUCUGAAAAGAUUCCAUGAUUUUGAGUUUUCUUUUUUAUCUCACCAGCCUCAUGUCUUCCUCCUCCUCCUCAUCCUGGCCUCCCAUGCUCUCCUUUUUUUUUUUCCCUUUUGUCCAUUAUAAUCACAUCCAUCCUACUUUGAUACUAUACCUGCCUUUCAGGACAAUGGAAUUAGGUAAUCUCUUUUUGGGUGAGACUGAUGACUGUCAAAGCCGUUUUCUCAAAGUUGGUGACUGAAGUUGGAAUCAACUUCCAUGUGGAAAGAUCCAAGGGCAGUGGACAGAGCCACCUUCCCAGAGCAGGAGAGCUGGUUUUAGCUAUCGUGACCUGCCGUGACCCUGUGCUCUUUCCGGUGGCCCUAAGGGGUCCCUUGCUGUUAAGUGGCAGCUUACAUUUGCGGUGUCUCUUUCCUUUUCAGAGAACAGAGUUCAGCAAGGCAAAUCAAUAAACCCCAAAGUGCUGUAAUUUAAAAUCAUGAUCACUGCCCUAGAAGUCAUAUAUUUCGUGUACUUUAAAACCAGCUAUGAAUAACUCGGACUGCUUGGGUUAUCUUUGGCUAUUAGGACCUGAACUGUAACUAUUUAUUAUAAUAUGCUACAAAAAAGGUGCUUUUUUGCUUUCUUUUCCCUAAAACAACUUUGAUCGACCGUUAGAAAGGAUGAGUCCCUCUCAAAAAUUUUUUUUGUUAAUUUGUCCUUGGAGGAGGGUGGGGAGCUAGUGUGAUAGUCAAGGAGAAAAGCCCACUGUUCCCUUAUUUUUGAAGCUAAAGAAAACAAUUAUGCCUACUGUGAGUUGUCUUUUGCUCGCAUACUUUUUUCUUUUUGAUAUCAUUAAAUUCAGUGUAUUAUGUGGAGCUUCUAUAUUUCAAACUGGAAGCAGUCUUCUUUGAAGGUGGUAUAUGAUGUAAUUUUGAGCUACAAGAGCUUUGGUCAGUCUUUCCUCCCCUAUAUAUCACAGGGGGCAAGGUUCAAAACUGUGUACAGAGGACCUCAAGAUAGAAAAUUAAGCAGGACCUUCCAGUCAUCUUUCUGCUGGCUAACUUUUUAUUCCCUAGAAUUACCAUUCCUGUUUUAAAUCAUAUUUUUUUUUCCUCUGACUCCUCCACCACUUUUCAAAGUGAUCUGCAUAAUUAUUCUUUCCUCAAGAAAAGAGUUCCUUUGCCUUGUUCUUCUCCACUGGUACUGAUGGUUUUGAAAAUAAACUGGUAGGAAAAAAAAGUGUACCUCCUAGAAGGAAGCCCUGCCCGCCAUUUCCAGGUGCCAAUGGCUAAGCAGGUGUGCCGCAAACAUAACUGUAACUUGUGCACACUGUGGGUCACUCUUAAUCAGCCUCUUCCUACUAGAGCAUUUUAUUUUCCUUGUUCACCGUACAAUCAUGUACUACUCUUUAACAGAAAUUACUUUUAAAGAAAUCUGGAACUAUCUUAAAAAAAAAAAAAAACUUUAUUAAUAAUCAUGUAUUUUUACUGAUCACAUUUUGAAAUGCCUAAAAGACUUUAUUGUUCUAAUUAUCCAGAUGUACCUUUGUAAAAUAGCUCUUUUAUGAAUUAGCUGAUAAGGCUGUAUGUUUCUGGAACAAAAUAUUGGUCAUCUAAAAACUCUGUUUUCUGGGGUCUGGGAAAAUAGAAGAAUGAGAAUUCAAAUAUUAAAUAUGCUUAAAGGAA